GGUUAAGCGACUAAGCGUACACGGUGGAUGCCCUGGCAGUCAGAGGCGAUGAAGGACGUGCUAAUCUGCGAUAAGCGUCGGUAAGGUGAUAUGAACCGUUAUAACCGGCGAUUUCCGAAUGGGGAAACCCAGUGUGAUUCGUCACACUAUCAUUAACUGAAUCCAUAGGUUAAUGAGGCGAACCGGGGGAACUGAAACAUCUAAGUACCCCGAGGAAAAGAAAUCAACCGAGAUUCCCCCAGUAGCGGCGAGCGAACGGGGAGCAGCCCAGAGCCUGAAUCAGUGUGUGUGUUAGUGGAAGCGUCUGGAAAGGCGUGCGAUACAGGGUGACAGCCCCGUACACAAAAAUGCACAUGCUGUGAGCUCGAUGAGUAGGGCGGGACACGUGGUAUCCUGUCUGAAUAUGGGGGGACCAUCCUCCAAGGCUAAAUACUCCUGACUGACCGAUAGUGAACCAGUACCGUGAGGGAAAGGCGAAAAGAACCCCGGCGAGGGGAGUGAAAAAGAACCUGAAACCGUGUACGUACAAGCAGUGGGAGCACAGAGCAAUCUGUGUGACUGCGUACCUUUUGUAUAAUGGGUCAGCGACUUAUAUUCUGUAGCAAGGUUAACCGAAUAGGGGAGCCGAAGGGAAACCGAGUCUUAACUGGGCGUUAAGUUGCAGGGUAUAGACCCGAAACCCGGUGAUCUAGCCAUGGGCAGGUUGAAGGUUGGGUAACACUAACUGGAGGACCGAACCGACUAAUGUUGAAAAAUUAGCGGAUGACUUGUGGCUGGGGGUGAAAGGCCAAUCAAACCGGGAGAUAGCUGGUUCUCCCCGAAAGCUAUUUAGGUAGCGCCUCGUGAAUUCAUCUCCGGGGGUAGAGCACUGUUUCGGCAAGGGGGUCAUCCCGACUUACCAACCCGAUGCAAACUGCGAAUACCGGAGAAUGUUAUCACGGGAGACACACGGCGGGUGCUAACGUCCGUCGUGAAGAGGGAAACAACCCAGACCGCCAGCUAAGGUCCCAAAGUCAUGGUUAAGUGGGAAACGAUGUGGGAAGGCCCAGACAGCCAGGAUGUUGGCUUAGAAGCAGCCAUCAUUUAAAGAAAGCGUAAUAGCUCACUGGUCGAGUCGGCCUGCGCGGAAGAUGUAACGGGGCUAAACCAUGCACCGAAGCUGCGGCAGCGACACUAUGUGUUGUUGGGUAGGGGAGCGUUCUGUAAGCCUGUGAAGGUGUACUGUGAGGUAUGCUGGAGGUAUCAGAAGUGCGAAUGCUGACAUAAGUAACGAUAAAGCGGGUGAAA
rnacentral:rRNA from 1 species